rnacentral:lncRNA from 1 species
AUAGUCACACGAAUAAUUUCACUCUAACUAUAAUAUAUUUCAUUUAGAAUAGCAUGGCAAUUGAUGUUAGUUAACAUAAUGAAACACAACCAAAUAAACCCUAAACCUGCUAUCUAAACCAUAACUCUAAACACUAAACCCUAAACCCAAACUCUAAACUCUAAACCCAAACGGUAGACUCUUAAAUCCAAACCGUAUACCCUAAACCCAAACUCUAAAUCCAAAAUCUUAACCCAAACCGUAAACCAUAGCAGAGCUACCUAAAUCCUAAACCAAAACUCUAAACCAUAAACCCAAACCCUAAACACAAAUUCUUAACCCAAACCAUAGACCCAAACGGAGCUACCUAAACCCUAACCCCCACUAAACCCUAAACCCAAACCGUAAACCCUUAACCCAAACCUUAAACCCAAAUUGUAAAACCAAACCAUCGCCCAUAACGGAGCUACCUAAACCCUAACCUUGAAGGUCUAAACCCUAAACUCAAACCCUAAACCCUAAACCCCCUAAACCCAAACUCUAAACCCUAAACCCAAACCGUAAACCCUUAACCCAAACCGUAAACCCUUAACCCAAACCCUAAACCCAAAUUGUAAAACCAAACCAUCGCCCAUAACAGAGCUACCUAAACCCUAACCUUGAAGGUCUAAAAUAUACUAUAUUUCAUUUAGAAUAGUAUGGCAAUUGAUGAUAGUU